rnacentral:rRNA from 1 species
GACAGAGGGUGCAAACGUUGUUCGGAAUUACUGGGCGUAAAGCGCGUGUAGGCGGCUUUGCAAGUCGGGUGUGAAAUCCCACGGCUCAACCGUGGAAGUGCACUCGAAACUGCAAGGCUAGAGUCCUGGAGAGGAAGGUGGAAUGCUUGGUGUAGAGGUGAAAUUCGUAGAUAUUCGCAAGAACACCAGUGGCGAAGGCGGCUCACUGGCCCGUUACUGACGCUGAGGCACGAAAGCGUGGGGAGCAAACAGG